UGGGGAAUAUUGGACAAUGGGCGCAAGCCUGAUCCAGCCAUGCCGCGUGAGUGACGAAGGUCUUCGGAUUGUAAAACUCUUUUUGGCGGGGACGAUAAUGACGGUACCCGCAGAAUAAGCCCCGGCUAACUUCGUGCCAGCAGCCGCGGUAAUACGAAGGGGGCUAGCGUUGUUCGGAAUCACUGGGCGUAAAGCGCACGUAGGCGGAUGUGCCAGUCAGGGGUGAAAUCCCGGAGCUCAACUCCGGAACUGCCUCUGAUACAGCACGUCUUGAGUUCGAGAGAGGUGGGUGGAAUUCCUAGUGUAGAGGUGAAAUUCGUAGAUAUUAGGAAGAACACCGGUGGCGAAGGCGGCCCACUGGCUCGAUACUGACGCUGAGGUGCGAAAGCGUGGGGAGCAAACAGGAUUAGAUACCCCGGUAGUCCCUGAGCGGGCUGGCAAGGCGCAU
rnacentral:rRNA from 1 species